UACAGAGGGUGCGAGCGUUAAUCGGAAUUACUGGGCGUAAAGCGUGCGUAGACGGUUAUUUAAGUCGGGUGUGAAAGCCCCGGGCUCAACCUGGGAAUUGCAUUCGAGACUGAAUAGCUAGGGUACGGUAGAGGGAAGUGGAAUUUCCGGUGUAGCGGUGAAAUGCGUAGAUAUCGGAAGGAACAUCAGUGGCGAAAGCGGCUCUCUGGACCACAACUGACGCUGAGGCGCGAAAGCUAGGGGAGCAAACAGG
rnacentral:rRNA from 1 species